UUCCGGUUGAUCCCGCCAGACCUGACUGCUAUCGGAUUGAUACUAAGCCAUGCGAGUCUUUGCAGUAAUGCAAGGCGGACUGCUCAGUAACACGUAGUCAACUUAACCUAUGGAUGGGUAUAACCUCGGGAAACUGAGAAUAAUUCCCAAUAGAUCAUUUAUCCUGGAAUGGUUAGUGAUUGAAAUGAUUCGUCGCCAUAGGAUAGGACUGCGGCCUAUCAGCUUGUUGGUGAGGUAAAGGCCCACCAAGGCUAUUACAGGUACGGGCUCUGAGAGAAGAAGCCCGGAGAUGGGUACUGAGACACGGACCCAGGCCCUAUGGGGCGCAGCAGGCGAGAAAACUUUGCAAUGUGCGAAAGCACGACAAGGUUAACCCGAGUGAUUUCUGCUAAAGAAAUCUUUUGCCAGUUCUAAAAAUACUGGUGAAUAAGGGGUGGGCAAGUUCUGGUGCCAGCAGCCGCGGUAAU
rnacentral:rRNA from 1 species